rnacentral:rRNA from 1 species
UACGAAGGGUGCAAGCGUUAAUCGGAAUUACUGGGCGUAAAGCGUGCGCAGGCGGUUAUGCAAGACAGAUGUGAAAUCCCCGGGCUCAACCUGGGAACUGCAUUUGUGACUGCAUGGCUAGAGUACGGUAGAGGGGGAUGGAAUUCCGCGUGUAGCAGUGAAAUGCGUAGAUAUGCGGAGGAACACCGAUGGCGAAGGCAAUCCCCUGGACCUGUACUGACGCUCAUGCACGAAAGCGUGGGGAGCAAACAGG